GAGGGUAUAGCUCAAGUGGUGGGGCGCAUGCCUAGCAUGCAUGCGGUCCUGGGUUCAAUUCCCCGUACCGCCU
rnacentral:tRNA from 1 species